AUCAGACGGCAGCAAUGAAUGCCGAAAGAUAGCAAAAGAAAUCAGU
rnacentral:ncRNA from 1 species